GAUGAACGCUGGCUACAGGCUUAACACAUGCAAGUCGAGGGGAAACGACGGGGAAGCUUGCUUCCCCGGGCGUCGACCGGCGCACGGGUGAGUAACGCGUAUCCAAUCUGCCUCUGACUGAGGGAUAACUCGUCGAAAGUCGGCCUAAUACCUCAUGGCAUCGUCUGCGGGCAUCCAACGACGAUUAAAGAUUUCAUCGGUCAGAGAUGGGUAUGCGUCUGAUUAGCUUGUUGGCGGGGUAACGGCCCACCAAGCCGACGAUCAGUAGGGGUUCUGGAAGGACGGUCCCCCACAUUGGAGCUGGAACACGGACCAAACUCCUACGGGAGGCAGCAGUGAGGAAUAUUGGGCAACGGGAGAGAGUCUGAACCAGCCAAGUAGAGCGCAGGACGACGGCCCUAUGGGUUGUAAACUGGUUUUAUGCGGGGAUAAAGUGAGGGACGUGUCCUUCAUUGCAGGUACCGCAUGAAUAAGGACCGGCUAAUUCCGUG
rnacentral:rRNA from 1 species